GAGAGAUUUUAAAGGGGAUCUAGUGAAUGUCAUCAGCCUUUUCUUAAUGUCCAGGCCUUUUCUUCUCUGGGCUUGUUUGAGGCACCAAUGACAGGCUUUUGGAGCCUUCAUUUUGCCCUACAUUACAUAUUUGUCUCCUUACUCUCCAGAGAUUCAACUUACAAAUUACUAAAAUCUGUGUGUGGACACUUAGAAAAUACAAGUGUUGGUAACAGUCCCAAUCCAUCUUCUGCUGAAAACAGUUUCCGCGCAGACCGCCCUUCAUCUCUGCCUCUGGAUUUCAAUGAUGAAUUCUCAGAUCUGGAUGGAGUGGUUCAACAAAGAAGGCAAGACAUGGAAGGAUACAGCAGUUCUGGUUCUCAAACUCCUGAAUCUGAGAACUCUCGAGAUUUCCAUGUGACAGAAUCCCAAACAGUUCUGAAUGUCUCCAAGGGAGAAGCAAAGCCAACUCGGGCAGAUGCCCAUGUGAACAGAGUACCUGAAGGAAAAGCCAAGAGUCUGCCUGCGCAGGGUCUGUCAGAAACUGUUGGAAUCUUACAUAAAGUCAAGUCUCAGAAAUGUCCGAUGCUUCACCAUAU
rnacentral:sRNA from 1 species